CGCAGUAGGAUAGGCGAAGCGUGCUGUUGGAGUGCACGUCCAAGCAGUGAGAUUGAGUGUUAGGCAAAUCCGGCACUCUUAAGAUUGAGCUGUGAUGGGGAGAGGAACUUGUUCCUCGAGUCGUUGAUUUCACACUGCCGAGAAAAGCCUCUAGCUAGAAUAACGGUGCCCGUACCGCAAACCGACACAGGUAGUCAAGAUGAGAAUUCUAAGGUGAGCGAGCGAACUCUCGUUAAGGAACUCGGCAAAAUGACCCCGUAACUUCGGGAGAAGGGGUGCUCUUUGAGGUUCACGCUUCGAAGAGCCGCAGUGAAUAGGCCCAAGCGACUGUUUAUCAAA
rnacentral:rRNA from 1 species